rnacentral:misc_RNA from 1 species
GUUGCCAUAGUCGCGCGGACGUGCGGGGUGCGCCUCGGCGGCCAACGUGGGGGCGCGUGAGCUGUGUCUGGUUCGUUCGUGUUGGCGGGCUCCCUGCUUUGAGCGGUGAACCGUCCGCGGCCGAUCCUCUUCAAGGAAUAGAUCCAGGGGCGGGCAAGCCCUGGGCGGAGAAUGGUUUCCUGUGUUGAAUGCCUGGUGAAGGCACCGCGACCCUAACGAGAUGAACAUCCGCCCGACGCCCCGUCCGGGGUGUCUGGUGGACCAUCCAAGCUGGGGCCGUCGUCCACCCGCGCUCCGCCUCCGUGCGCGCGCGGCGUGGGCAAUGGCCUCUAGCUGUGCCCCGGGAUGCAGAACACUUUGGGGGCAGCCGGCCGCGAGCCGGAUGCGGCUGCCCGUUCAAGCGUUCUACGCUAAGCACGAACGACGGUCGGCGCGCGUUGGGUCCCCGUUAGCUCGGUGUGCCCAUGCGUGUCGANGUCNGCACGAGGA